rnacentral:misc_RNA from 1 species
AACGCACGAGACCUGCGGACCUGCGGAGGGAUCAUUACUGAGUUUCACAACUCUCUAACCCUGUGUGAACUGAAGUCUGGUUGCUCAGGCAGGCGGCCCCCGGGGGGAGCCGCAGCUUCUCUGAAGCGCCUGCCGGAGGAUACCUAAACUCGUUUUAACAUAUAAUCUUCUGAGUAAUAAAAAAAAAAUGAAUCAAAACUUUCAACAACGGAUCUCU